rnacentral:rRNA from 1 species
UACGAGGGGGGCGAGCGUUGUUCGGAAUUAUUGGGCGUAAAGGGUGCGUAGGCGGUUUGGUAAGUCUUAUGUGAAAUCUAUGGGCUCAACUCAUAGUCUGCAUGAGAAACUGCCGGGCUUGAGUAUGGGAGAGGUGAGUGGAAUUCCUGGUGUAGCGGUGAAAUGCGCAGAUAUCGGGAGGAACACCGGUGGCGAAGGCGGUUCUCUGGGCCUGUACUGACGCUGAGGAGCGAAAGCGUGGGGAGCGAACAGG